rnacentral:rRNA from 1 species
GCUGAGGCGCGAAGGCGUGAGGAUCGAGCAGGAUCAGAUACCCAGGUAGUGCACGCAGUACCCGGUGAUCACUAGACUAUGCGGUUGUUAACCCCUGCUGUGCCAGGAGUUAACGCAUUAGGUGAUCCGCAUCGGCGAGUGCGAUCGCAAGGUUGAGACUCAAAGCAAUUGACAGGGCACCGCACAAGCAGCUGGAGCAUGUGCAUUAAUUCGAAUCUAAGCGAAGACCCUUAACUGUACUCGCAACUCUACUGUAAUUCCGCUGAAUACACGGGAGUGCCGGUUUCCGAGGAAUCCUGAUGACAGGUGCUGCAUGGCAUGUCGUCUGCUCGUCUCGUGAGAUGUUGGGUUAAGUUCCGCCACGAGCAGCAACCCCUAUCGUCAGUUGCCAUCAGGUUACCCUGGGGACUUUGGGGAUACUGCCCCGGUCAACCAGGAGGAAGGUGGGGAUGACGUCAAGUCAUCAUGGCACUUUAUGUCCAGGGCUACACACGUGCUACAAUGGUAUGUACAAAGGGAAGCGAUACCGCGAGGAGGAGCUUAUCCCAAAAAGCAGUUCCAAGUUCGGGAUCGGAUGUGGCCAAUUGCACUCAUUGAAGUGGGUUCGUUAGUAUCCCGGAUCAGCAUGCCGCGGUGAUACGUUCCCGGGCAUUGUACACACCGCCCGUACAUCAUGAGAGUUGCUGUACCAGAAGUCGUGGCUACCCGUAAGGGAGGUAG